UGCAAGUCGAACGAGAACGGUCCUUCGGGAUGUCAGCUAAGUGGCGGACGGGUGAGUAAUGUAUAGUUAAUUUGCCCCUUAGAGAGGGAUAGCCAUUGGAAACGAUGAUUAAUACCUCAUACUCCUUCUCUCUUAAUGAGAGUUGGGAAAUGUUUUUUCGCUAAGGGAUAAGACUAUAUGGUAUCAGGUAGUUGGUAGGGUAAGAGCCUACCAAGCCUAUGACGCCUAGCUGGUCUGAGAGGAUGAUCAGCCACACUGGAACUGAGACACGGUCCAGACUCCUACGGGAGGCAGCAGUGGGGAAUAUUGCACAAUGGAGGAAACUCUGAUGCAGCAACGCCGCGUGGAGGAUGACACAUUUCGGUGCGUAAACUCCUUUUAUAUGGGAAGAUAAUGACGGUACCAUAUGAAUAAGCACCGGCUAACUCCGUGCCAGCAGCCGCGGUAAUACGGAGGGUGCAAGCGUUACUCGGAAUCACUGGGCGUAAAGCGCGCGCAGGCGGUCUUUUAAGUUGGAUGUGAAAGCCUACGGCUCAACCGUAGAACUGCAUCCAAAACUAUUAGACUAGAGUCUGGGAGGGGAAGAUGGAAUUAGUUGUGUAGGGGUAAAAUCCGUAGAGAUAACUAGGAAUACCAAAAGCGAAGGCGAUCUUCUGGAACAGUACUGACGCUGAGGCGCGAAAGCGUG
rnacentral:rRNA from 1 species